UAUUUUAAGUAGACGCUCCACUGAACAACUCAGUAGAGACCAUAUCCUAUUACAUAACUUUCAUGCAUAUCCUCUUUUUUUUUUUUAAACAUAAGGUUAAAAUAAAAAUGAACAUAAAUUACAAAUGAUAUAAGGACUUUGUUGAAAUGGUAAUACAUUAUAUAGAUGUACAUUGCAAAAGCAAGCAAAUGACACAAUUAAGAACAGCAAGCGGGCAUACAAUCUUUUCGACAGUAUUGAUGCAUUGACAGGACGGCAAGAAAUAAGGACAACUCAUAUCUAUGUACAUGGUCUUCUGAGUUUAAACACCAAGAGAAUUGAAAAGAAAUCACAGAGACAACAAGAAACCUCAUAAAUGGUUUCUUCAUACUUGAAUUAAAAGAAGGUAGAACCACAUGUGAGGUCACGUUUUGAUCAAGUUACAGGAGUGCCGGACAUAUGGACAUGGUAGACAUGGUAAACUGGCAGUCAGAAGGCUGCCAGUUCAAAUCCUGCAAAUGCCAAAAGGGAAUCUGCUGUGUUGGGCCCUUAAGCAAGCCCUUGAGAAAGUGCUAUAUAAAUGCAAAGAAUUAUUAUUAUUAUUAUUAUUAUUAUUAUUAAACUAGACCCAACUGUUGCAGUCAGUGGCAGAUAAGAAAAUGAUAAAAAGCAGGAGAAGCAGGCAAAGUGAAGAUGACAACUACACUGAAAAACACUGUUACAAUAUCAUAGCUGAAGAAAUCUAAAUAAUCCAUUAUGAGGUUUGUAAAGAUAAGAACAACAAUGCAUCCUCACAUCUGUUUAAAGUGUGAAAAUAAAUUUGAUGUAAGAGA